UACGGGGGGAGCAAGCGUUGUUCGGAUUUACUGGGCGUAAAGGGCGCGUAGGCGGUCGUGACAAGUCACUUGUGAAAUCUCCGGGCUUAACUCGGAACGGUCAAGUGAUACUGUCGGACUAGAGUACAGAAGGGGCAACUGGAAUUCUCGGUGUAGCGGUGAAAUGCGUAGAUAUUGGGAGGAACACCAGUGGCGAAGGCGGCUCACUGGACCGGUUCUGGACGCUGAGGCGCGAAAGCGGUGGGGAGCAAACGGG
rnacentral:rRNA from 1 species